rnacentral:misc_RNA from 1 species
AAGCAGAGAGGCAAAGGAGAGAAAAGCUUAACCAAAGAUUCUAUGCUCUUCGAGCUGUUGUUCCAAAUGUAUCCAAAAUGGACAAAGCUUCACUCCUUGGUGAUGCUAUCUCUUACAUCAAUGAGCUCAGAGGGAAGCUUCAAACUGCAGAAUCAGAUAAGGAAGAUUUGCAGAAGCAAUUGGAUUCAGUGAAGAAGUUGAUAAUGUCUUCUAAUAAAGAUUCGUGCAUAUCAAGCUCAAAUCAACCCCCACCAGAUCAAUCAUCAAACACAAACCACAGUGAUAUCGAAACCGAUAUUGACGUGAAGAUAAUCAGUUGGGAUGCGAUGAUCCGAAUCCAAUCUAGUAAGAAAAACCAUCCUGCUGCACGGCUGAUGGCGGCUUUGGAAGAACUCGACUUGGAUAUCAACCACGCGAGCAUCUCAGUUGUCAAUGAUCUCAUGAUCCAACAAGCAACUGUGAAGAUGGGGAGUCGAU